rnacentral:misc_RNA from 1 species
AUUCAACAUACUUAAUGAUGUUUAAGUCUCAUACUCAUGUUCAAGACCACCCAUAUACAACUUAAAUUCAUUCAAAACUCAUCAACACUUCCAUCACUAAGGCUGCCAAAAAUUUUAAUUGGUCCAUACAUGGAUAUGUUCUUUUAAUUUCAUGAAUUUCUAACUAAAUCCAUAUACCUAACUUCAAAUUUAAAGAAAAAAAAUGGAGAGAUAUGGCACUAACCUCACUUGUGUCCAACUUGCCCUUGCCUAAACUUCAAUUUUCUUUCACUUCUUGGCUGCCACUAUCUUCCUCAAGGUGUGGGAUCAAUUUUUAUUGAAGUGAUCUAGGGUUUUUAAGGUGAAAUGGUGGGUGAACUCAAGCUUGGUGGAGCUUUAAUGGUGGUUUCUUUCUUCUCUUUCUCUCUUUUUUCCUUUGUUACGGCUGAUUGGGGAAGACAAGUGCAGAUUGGUUUUUCAUUUUGUCUCUUUUUUAUUUAGUUUUUAUCCCUUUAAGAGGCUUGUCAAUUUGUGAUUGGGUGGAGAGUGUUUAAUGACAUCAUAUGAUAUCAUAAUUACUAAUUUCUUUCAUUUUUCUUUCUUUUUCUUUUCUACUCAUUUUCAAU